AAACUUUCAACAACGGAUCUCUUGGUUCUGGCAUCGAUGAAGAACGCAGCGAAAUGCGAUAAGUAAUGUGAAUUGCAGAAUUCCGUGAAUCAUCGAAUCUUUGAACGCACAUUGCGCCCCUCGGUAUUCCGGGGGGCAUGCUUGUUCGAGCGUCAUUA
rnacentral:rRNA from 7 species